CCUGUUUAGUCAAACUCGCCUUUUGAGUCCCUUGGUGGUAAAUUUAGUCUCUCCCCUCAGAUACCUUUGGUUAUGACGGCCAGAAGGUUCCUUGGCUCUCCUGGGUUGGAGCUUCCGGUUCCCUCUACCGUGAGAUGGUGCGGCUUUAGAGCGUAGUGCAGAGAGAGGGUGGGAGUGAUGGCGGCACGGAGGCUGGGCUUUUCCCCCUCUUGGGUAGUCGCCCGGCUGGGGCACCUGCCUGCAGUCUGCGUUCAA